GCGGACGGCCGGGCGACCGCGCGCAAGCGAGGAAAGUCCGGACUCCACGAAGCGACGGUGCCGGGUAACGCCCGGCCGGGGCAACCCGAGGGAAAGCGCCACAGAGAACAGACGGCCUUCGCGGGUCGCGCAAGCGGCUCACGCGGGUCACGGUGAAACGGUGCGGUAAGAGCGCACCGCGGGACGGGCAACCGGACCGGCACGGCAAGCCCCACCGGGAGCAAUGUCGAAUAGGGGGUCCAUAUGGGCAGGCUUCGGCCCGGACCCCGGGUAGACAGCUUGAUCCCGUCGGUAACGGCGGGACCAGAUGAAUGGUCGUCCCCCUUUUCGGAGGGGACAGAAUCCGGCUUACAGGCCGUCCGCACCU
rnacentral:RNase_P_RNA from 1 species